rnacentral:rRNA from 1 species
UACAGAGGUCUCAAGCGUUGUUCGGAUUCAUUGGGCGUAAAGGGUGCGUAGGUGGCGCUGUAAGUCGGGUGUGAAAUUUCGGAGCUUAACUCCGAAACUGCAUUCGAUACUGCGGUGCUUGAGGACUGGAGAGGAGACUGGAAUUCAUGGUGUAGCAGUGAAAUGCGUAGAGAUCAUGAGGAAGACCAGUGGCGAAGGCGGGUCUCUGGACAGUUCCUGACACUGAGGCACGAAGGUCAGGGGAGCAAACGGG